rnacentral:sRNA from 12 species
ACUGUGGAGUGUCAAACAAAAAGUCGGUAGCUACGGCAAAGACGGACACGCAGAAGCAGUAA